GAGCAGCAGCCAAGCUGGAGAGACUCCAGCCUGGCCACCUUUCCCCACGAGCACUCCAGGUUUUGAGAAGGUUGGAGCCGCAUCACCAUCAACAAAGUAUAUACAGAAGUGUUGCGGAGACAAACCGUCAGCGGCAAGAGCAGCAGCAGCAGCUCCCCUGCGCUAGAUGCUCGUACCGCAACGGAGGGGAAGGUGCUGGGAAUGGUGACAGCAGCAGCGGAGCCCUGAGCAAAGGGGCUGGGAAGCUCUCCCGCUUUCCAGCCCUGAAUGGAAAAUAAAGAGCACCGGGGCUCUCCCCAGCCAGGCUGCUUGUGUCACUUCA